GAUGGGUGCUGGGUGUGGGGGGUGUAAAUUCCAAAUUCCCCGAAGCAAACGCGUUAAGCAUAUCGCUAGGGGAAUUCGGCCGCAAGGCUAAAAAUCAAAGGAAUUGACGUGGGGCCCGCACAAGCAGCGGAGCGUGUGGUUUAAUUCGGAUGAUACACGAAGAACCUUACCUGGGUUUGACAUGCACGGGGUAGGGAACCGAAAGGGGACCGACUUUCGGGAGCGUGCACAGGUUCUGCAUGGCUGUCGUCAGCUCGUGCCAUGAGGUGUUCGGUUAAGUUCCGUAACGAGCGCAACCCUUGGCGUUAGCUACAAGUGUCUAAGGUGACCGCCCGGGACAACUGGGAGGAAGGUGGGGAUGACUUCAAGUCAGCAUGGCCGUUAUAUCCAGGGCUACACACACCCUUCAAUGCCCGGUACAAUUGGUUGCGAAGUCGUGAGGCGGAGCCAAUCGUCAAAGCCGGUCUCAGUUCGAAUCGCAGUAUGCAAUUGGAGUGCAAGAAGUUGGAGUUGGUAGUAAUCGCAGGUCAGCUAUACUGCGGAGAAUACGUUCCCGGGCAUUGUACA
rnacentral:rRNA from 1 species